UGAAUUUUUCUAGUUUGGCCAGUGUUUUGGUAAAGAAUUUAUGCUGUCCGCGGUUAGGGCUAUAAAUGCUUGCGAAAGUGUAGGUGUGGUGUGCGAUGGUGCCCUUCAAGAAGAUGAACCUCCCCUCAGGGUCCGUCAUGGUGUCUAUGUGGUGGAACGGGACUAUGCGGGAGAACAGAAUCGCCACUCCCGUUUUCUUAGACUCUGGGUGAUUGGCGUAGUACCCCUGUGGAAAGCGUCUAU